rnacentral:tRNA from 1 species
GUUUUUAUGGUGUAAUAAACACAUAACCUUUUCAAAGUUAAACUAACCUAUAAUUUAAAAACA